AUUGAACGCUGGCGGCAUGCCUUACACAUGCAAGUCGAACGGUAACGCGGGGCAACCUGGCGACGAGUGGCGAACGGGUGAGUAAUGUAUCGGAACGUGCCCCGUUGUGGGGGAUAACUGCUCGAAAGAGCAGCUAAUCCCGCAUACGACCUGAGGGUGAAAGCGGGGGAUCGCAAGACCUCGCGCAAUUGGAGCGGCCGAUAUCAGAUUAGGUAGUUUGUGGGGUAAAAGUCCAACAAGCCAACGAACUGUAGCGGGUCUGGGCGGACAACCAGACAAGGUGGGACGGGAAACACGCCCAGACACCAACGGGAGGCCGGAGGGGGGAAUUUUGAAAAAAGGGGCCAAGCCUGGUCCAGCCAUGCCGGGUGCGGGAAGAAGGCCUUCGGGUUGUAAACCGCUUUUGUCAGGGAAGAAACGCUCUGGGUUAAUACCUCGGGGUAAUGACGGUACCUGAAGAAUAAGCACCGGCUAACUACGUGCCAGCCGCCGCCGUAAAAC
rnacentral:rRNA from 1 species